CUCGUAGGCGGUUUGGUAAGUCUGGUGUGAAAUCUCCACGCUCAACGUGGAGGGGCCACCCGAUACUGCCAUGACUGGAGUCCGGUAGAGGAGUGUGGAAUUCCCGGUGUAGCGGUGAAAUGCGCAGAUAUCGGGAGGAACACCCGUAGCGAAGGCGGCACUCUGGGCCGGUACUGACGCUGAGGAGCGAAAGCGUGGGGAAGCAAACA
rnacentral:rRNA from 1 species